rnacentral:rRNA from 1 species
UAAAGCGUGCGCAGGCGGUUAUAUAAGACAGAUGUGAAAUCCCCGGGCUCAACCUGGGAACUGCAUUUGUGACUGUAUAGCUGGAGUGCGGCAGAGGGGGAUGGAAUUCCGCGUGUAGCAGUGAAAUGCGUAGAUAUGCGGAGGAACACCGAUGGCGAAGGCAAUCCCCUGGGCCUGCACUGACGCUCAUGCACGAAAGCGUGGGGAGCAAACAGGAUUAGAUACCCGGU